CAGUCUUUGUGCAGGCACUUUGGUGACUCUAGAUAACCCCGGGCAGAUCGCAUGUCUCCGUGACGGCGAAGAUGCAUUCGGAUGUCUGCCCUAUCAACUUUCGAUGGUACUUUCUGUGCCUACCAUGGUGACCAUGGGUAAUGGGGAAUCAGGGUUCGAUUCCGGAGAAGGAGCAUGAGAAACAGCUACAACAUCCAAGGAAGGCAGCAGGCAGGCGCACCCACUCCCGACGCGGGGAAGUAGUGACGAUAAAUAACAAUACAAGACUCUUUCGAGGCCCUGUAAUUGGAAUGAGUACACUUUAAAUACUAUAACGAGGAUGUAUUGGAGGGCAAGUCUGGUGCAGAGCGACUGACACAAUGCGUGCUGCAGCUG